rnacentral:rRNA from 1 species
AGAACGAACGCUGGCGGCAGGCUUAACACAUGCAAGUCGAACGCCCCGCAAGGGGAGUGGCAGACGGGUGAGUAACACGUGGGAACGUCCCCCUCGGUUCGGAAUAACUCAGGGAAACUUGAGCUAAUACCGGAUACGUCCGAGAGGAGAAAGAUUUAUCGCCGAGGGAUCGGCCCGCGUCUGAUUAGCUAGUUGGUGAGGUAACGGCUCACCAAGGCGACGAUCAGUAGCUGGUCUGAGAGGAUGACCAGCCACACUGGGACUGAGACACGGCCCAGACUCCUACGGGAGGCAGCAGUGGGGAAUCUUGGACAAUGGGCGCAAGCCUGAUCCAGCCAUGCCGCGUGAGUGAUGAAGGCCUUAGGGUUGUAAAGCUCUUUCGGACGGGGACGAUAAUGACGGUACCCGUAGAAGAAGCCCCGGCUAACUUCGUGCCAGCAGCCGC